rnacentral:rRNA from 1 species
GACGAACGCUGGCGGCGUGCUUAACACAUGCAAGUCGAACGGAAAGGCCCUGCUUGCAGGGUGCUCGAGUGGCGAACGGGUGAGUAACACGUGGGUGAUCUGCCCCUUACUUUGGGAUAAGCCUGGGAAACUGGGUCUAAUACUGGAUAGGACCAUGCUGUAGGUGGUGUGGUGGAAAGAUUAGUUUCGGUAAGGGAUGAGCUCGCGGCCUAUCAGCUUGUUGGUGGGGUAAUGGCCUACCAAGGCGUCGACGGGUAGCCGGCCUGAGAGGGUGGACGGCCACAUUGGGACUGAGGUACGGCCCAGACUCCUACGGGAGGCAGCAGUGGGGAAGAUUGCACAAUGGGGGCAAGCCUGAUGCAGCGACGCCGCGUGGGGGAUGACGGCCUUCGGGUUGUAAACUCCUUUCAGCCAUGACGAAGCCCUUGUGGUGACGGUAGUGGUAGAAGAAGCACCGGCUAACUACGUG